rnacentral:sRNA from 1 species
GACAUCUUUGGGUUUUGCUAUUUACCCAGUAGUAACAGAUGUACACAUACAAAAAAUCGGAGAGUUUUAAUGAACAUGUAAAUAUUUUUAUACUAGUAACUGAUCUUUUUCUCAUCCUAAUUUAAUUACUGGUACAUAGCAAGUGCUUUUGUUUUUCUGUACUCUGUUUCAUUUAUUGUGGUGCCAUAUUCUCUAACAAAACUGAUUUUUUUUUAAAUGUGUGUAAUUUUGUAAAAUUACUUUGCAAAUUUUCUUUCGUUAUUCAAGUUUAUUCUACACAGACUAAAACUAAUUUAUAUGAUUUUGACAUCAGUUAAUUUCUGGAUGUGAGGAAAAGGAAUGUCUAGUCUUUUGAGAUAAGAGAAAGCCUGCUUGAGUCUGCUUGUAAACAUACAAGUCUGUUCGUUGUAUAUUGGUGUUGUUGAUGAAUGAAAGUCUAUGUUGAUGAGUGAAAGUCGUUAUUGUUAAUGGUGGUGAGUGAGGGUCUGAUUAGUCCUUUUUCUGAGUGCAGAACAGUGUAAAUACGGUAUAUUGAUGAGUGCAAGUCUGUGUAACUCUGUGCUGCGAGUGUAAAUUGAAUGCACAUGGUGUUUCAUAAUACAUUGUAUAAGCAAAACAAUAAGAUUUGGUAAUUCAAUUGAGAUUAGCACCAGUAUAUUCAGCAGAAAUGAGAAAACUACAAUGAAAUCAAAGUGCAACAUAUUUUAUUGAAUACCCUGUACCAAGAUAAGUCAGUAUAUUAUACUGCUCUGUAUAUUAUGCCUGGUAUUAUGAAACACCCUGUACCAAGGUAAGUCAAUAUAUUAUGCCUGGUGAUUUGUAAGUAUGGAUAUCUGUGUAUGAUGUGUUUGAAAUUUAGAAUUAAUUUCUCUUAUUCUUAUGGAUUUGUUUCUUAAAGUCUGAAUUGCUAAUUUAUAUCUUUUCAUUAUCAAGCAAGUGAAAAAUAAUGUAAAUCAAUAAACAAAACAUAUGGG